GUUUCAGCAGUGCUAAAGUGCUUAUAGUGCAGGUAGUUGUUUCCCGAUCUACUGCAAUGUGAGCACUUAAAGUACUUCUAGCU
rnacentral:pre_miRNA from 1 species